rnacentral:lncRNA from 1 species
GGUAGGGAACUUCCUUCCUGCCCCCUCCGAGUUUUGCCUCCCUCACUGGCAGCAACCCAGCGCUUCCAUUGCUGACCUCUACCGACCUCUACCUGUGGUCCUUCCUCUACUGCAGCAGAGACACUGUUUUCUUCCUUUGUUCUUCCAACCCCAUAGUAAUAUCACAGAAGUGAAGUGCAAUUCUCAUCAUGUCAUAUCAAGAGCACACACUAACAACAUGACUUAUUGCUGAAUAUUGAACUUGAUCAUCUGGCUGAGGUAGUGUUUGCCAGAUUUCUCUGUAAAGUGAAUAAACUGACACUGGAACAUUCAGGAACUUCUUCAAUGUCAUGGUCACCCAGCUAGAGUGUGGAAGCCAGGCUGUCUGAUUCCAGGAUCUCUGUUCUUAAUCCUAUGCAUAAGGAAGUCAUAAUGAGUCAACCACUAUUUUUAAGAUUCACAGAUGUUCGGGUCCAAUUCACCAGAAUGCUAAGUUAUACAGGGUUGUGGAAUCAAAAACUGCAAUUAGUAAUAAAAUGUGAUGCUAUCUGGAAUGUUUUUCAUACAUAUAUAUGCUUCUUGGGACUCUCCCUGCAGGUUAAGAGAAAUUGA